rnacentral:rRNA from 1 species
UACGUAGGGGUCGAGCGUUGUCCGGAGUUACUGGGCGUAAAGCGCGUGCAGGUGGCUCAUUACGCCCGGCGUGAAAGCCCCCGGCUCAACCCGGGGAGGGUCGUCGGGGACGGGUGAGCUUGAGGGUAGCAGGGGCUGGUAGAAUUCCCGGUGUAGUGGUGAAAUGCGUAGAGAUCGGGAGGAAUACCCGUGGCGAAGGCGGCCAGCUGG